rnacentral:lncRNA from 1 species
GGAUCGCAUGUCCCACUCCUUUGCAGAGACGAUGAACCUCUAUCACAUUCCCUCCACAGAGCAAGCGGCAGCAGGUCGAGGAAGAGAAGACUUGUAUGGUGCAACAGAGAGAAACUGAAUGCUGUCCUUGAAAACAGGCUACCGAGAGCGCGUUGAAACGCUCUCGCAUUGUGCAAGAUGCUGCGCCAUCCGUUGAGAUUAUUACUUUGUUUUCUGAGCAUAAUCAGAGGAACAGAACUUCAGGCCUGAGAGAACACAGCUCCCUGAAUCAAGCAGCCACGAAGGAUCUCUCUGCCUCCAAAGCAGAAACAUGCUCAGUCACAUGCUCUCAGCUGGAAAGCAAAAGUUGCCAGAGAUGUCUGGGGAAGGGUGACAUGGAGCAUGCAGAAGACUGA